rnacentral:rRNA from 2 species
UGGGGAAUCUUGCGCAAUGGGGGCAACCCUGACGCAGCGACGCCGCGUGCGGGACGGAGGCCUUCGGGUCGUAAACCGCUUUCAGCAGGGAAGAGACGAGACUGUACCUGCAGAAGAAGCCCCGGCUAACUACGUGCCAGCAGCCGCGGUAAUACGUAGGGGGCGAGCGUUAUCCGGAUUCAUUGGGCGUAAAGCGCGCGUAGGCGGCCCGGCAGGCCGGGGGUCGAAGCGGGGGGCUCAACCCCCCGAAGCCCCCGGAACCUCCGCGGCUUGGGUCCGGUAGGGGAGGGUGGAACACCCGGUGUAGCGGUGGAAUGCGCAGAUAUCGGGUGGAACACCGGUGGCGAAGGCGGCCCUCUGGGCCGAGACCGACGCUGAGGCGCGAAAGCUGGGGGAGCGAACAGG